rnacentral:tRNA from 1 species
GGGCCCGUAGCUCAAUCGGUUAGAGCAUCUGGCUCAUAACCAGGGGGUUCAUGGUUCAAGUCCAUGCGGGCCCA